AAAAAAAAACCAUCCUUUUCCCCAGCUUACAUUCCAUUCUUGAGCCCAACCGAACCGGCUUCUAUUGAUUUCCGUUUCUCGGCGGUUCCUCGGAGAAGGGAAAUUGGGUGGGAGCCGCUAGUUCAUGCAGCGGCAGAGCCUACGCAAGGCGGUGCCGUUCCUCCUUGUCCUUAGUGUCCGCGAGUCGCCCCUGAGGGUGUGGAUUAUCGGUUACGGUCUGCUAUGUGUCCGCCACUCCACGUGUGUCUGCGUCUAUGCCAAGUACCGCAGGCAGAGGAGGGGAGCGGUGGGAGUUUGAGUUGGGUGUCGGGGAGAGUUCUGGGUUGUAUGUGCUCAGAUGGACGACGAGAGUUAUAGCAGUGUAGCAAAGCACCUGGAAUCUGCAAAUACAAUGUUUUCGUUUGCAUGGUGGGUCCUCCGGUUCUACUGGGUAUUUACCGGUGGUCAAGCUUGUGCAAUCCUCCCAUCAGCUUUAGUGGAAGGAGCAUCAAAAAGAAAACAUUGAGCAGUUGUGAAUAUUCAAGAUCAGCACAAUGGGGAGAAAUGAGAAGCUUGCCUGUGAUGCACAAGGACCUUGUGAAGGAGUGAUGACCGAAUGUGGACCAUUGAGCAUGUUCUCUCCCAGGAAGAUGCGAGUGUUGCAUCUGUCUUACUGCUUAAGAAGAUGGCCUGGAACAGAGGCAACUUCCCAGUGGUCGCCAUUUUCAUUGUUCUUGCAUCGGUAAGUGGCUUUCCAUCAAUGCUGCAUAUCCUGCAUGUCCUCUCUGAUAGCACUAAAUGUCUCGGUUCUACAAUCUG